rnacentral:rRNA from 1 species
CCUACGGGAGGCAGCAGUGGGGGAUAUUGCACAAUGGGGGAAACCCUGAUGCAGCGACGCCGCGUGAGUGAAGAAGUAUUUCGGUAUGUAAAGCUCUAUCAGCAGGGAAGAAAAUGACAGUACCUUACCAAGAAGCCCCGGCUAACUACGUGCCAGCAGCCUAGGUAAUACGUAGGGGGCAAGCGUUAUCCGGCUUUACUGGGUGUAAAGGGAGUGUAGGCGGUUAUGUAAGUCUGGAGUGAAAGCCCGGGGCCCAACCCCGGGACUGCUUUGGAAACUGUGUAACUGGAGUGCGGGAGGGGCAGGCGGAAUGCCUGGUGUAGCGGUGAAAUGCGUAGAUAUCAGGCAGAACACCGGUUGCGAAGGCGGCCUGCUGGACUGAAACUGACGUUGAGGCUCGAAAGCGUGGGGAGCAAACAGGAUUAGAUACCCCGGUAGUC